GGGCUAGUGGCUCAGCCGGAAGAGCGCCUGUACUUCGUAGGAGUUACUCAAAGAAGUUUAUUGGAGGAGCGAGUUCGAUCCUCGCCUAGUCCU